AGCGAACGCUGGCGGCAGGCCUAACACAUGCAAGUCGAACGAACUCUUCGGAGUUAGUGGCGGACGGGUGAGUAACACGUGGGAACGUGCCUUUAGGUUCGGAAUAACUCAGGGAAACUUGAGCUAAUACCGAAUGUGCCCUUCGGGGGAAAGAUUUAUCGCCAUUGGAGCGGCCCGCGUCUGAUUAGCUAGUUGGUGGGGUAAAGGCCCACCAAGGCUACGAUCAGUAGCUGGUCUGAGAGGAUGAUCAGCCACAUUGGGACUGAGACACGGCCCAAACUCCUACGGGAGGCAGCAGUGGGGAAUCUUGCGCAAUGGGCGAAAGCCUGACGCAGCCAUGCCGCGUGAAUGAUGAAGGUCUUAGGAUUGUAAAAUUCUUUCACCGGGGACGAUAAUGACGGUACCCGGAGAAGAAGCCCCGGCUAACUUCGUGCCAGCCGCCGCCGUAAGAC
rnacentral:rRNA from 1 species